rnacentral:rRNA from 1 species
GACGAACGCUGGCGGCGUGCCUGAUACAUGCAAGUUGAGCGAUGAAGAUUGGUGCUUGCACCAAUUUGAAGAGCAGCGAACGGGUGAGUAACGCGUGGGGAAUCUGCCUUUGAGCGGGGGACAACUUUUGGAAACGAAUGCUAAUACCGCAUAACAACUUUAAACAUAAGUUUUAAGUUUGAAAGAUGCAAUUGCAUCACUCAAAGAUGAUCCCGCGUUGUAUUAGCUAGUUGGUGAGGUAAAGGCUCACCAAGGCGAUGAUACAUAGCCGACCUGAGAGGGGGAUAGGCCACAUUGGAAGGGGGACAGGGACAAAACGACUACGGGAGGGAGCAGUAGGGAAUGGUCGGCAAUGGACGAAAGUCUGACAGAGCAACGCCGCGUGAGUGAAGAAGGUGUUCGGAGCGUAAAACUCUGUUGGUAGAGAAGAACGUUGGUGAGAGUGGAAAGCUCAUCAAGUGACGGUAACUACACAGAAAGGGACGGCUAACUACGUG